UAGUUUGCAUUGAUGGGAAAUAGUAAAUAAUUUCAGCCUCUUAAGAGAGCCAAUGGUUGGUGGAAAUUGGUGAGGAGAUUUAUUGAAUCCAUCCCAGAGCAAAAUGUUGUUGAGUGAGCUUUUUAGCUAACUAGGGUGGCAACGCGGGAUACAAACUCUCGUCCCUAUA
rnacentral:ncRNA from 1 species